UACGGGAGGCAGCAGUGGGGAAUUUUGGACAAUGGGGGCAACCCUGAUCCAGCCAUUCCGCAUGAGUGAAGAAGGCCUUCGGGUUGUAAAGCUCUUUCAGCAGGAACGAAACGGUGCGCUCUAACAUAGCGUGCUAAUGACGGUACCUGCAGAAGAAGCACCGGCUAACUACGUGCCAGUAGCCGCGGUAAUACGUAGGGUGCGAGCGUUAAUCGGAAUUAGUGGGCGUAAAGCGUGCGCAGGCGGAUUGUUAAGCAAGACGUGAAAUCCCCGGGCUUAACCUGGGAAUGGCGUUUUGAACUGGCAGUCUAGAGUGUGUCAGAGGGGGGUGGAAUUCCACGUGUAGCAGUGAAAUGCGUAGAGAUGUGGAGGAACACCAAUGGCGAAGGCAGCCCCCUGGGAUAACACUGACGCUCAUGUACGAAAGCGUGGGUAGCAAACAGGAUUAGAUACCCUGGUAGUCCACGCCCUAAACGAUGUCAACUGGUUGUUGGGGGAGUGAAAUCCCUUAGUAACGAAGCUAACGCGUGAAGUUGACCGCCUGGGGAGUACGGUCGCAAGAUUAAAACUCAAAGGAAUUAACGGGGA
rnacentral:rRNA from 1 species